AUUGUGGGCAAAAAUAGAGUGGUGCAUACACUUGCUUUAUUGGCCUUUGCACAUAGAAAAGCUUUUCCAUUGCUAAACAAGGUUUGACCCAGAAAAUAAUCCUUUGUUGGAAUUGGUGGUCUCGGAAUUAAAAUUUUGCAAAUAUGGUCUAGCUCAUUCAAUUCAUUCCCUGGCCUGCAAAGUUCAUGAAAUCAGCUUUGCAUGGCUUGAGCUAGUCACUCUUAAAGAUUUCAUGCCAAAACUACUCAAUCAAGAUAAUCAUGAAGGAUGGCCAUAUAUUAAGUGUCUUGUGAUAGAUGUAUUGCGGUUCAUGGAACCUUUUUUGAGGAGUGGCGAACUUACAAAGCCGGCUUGCAUCUUAACUCUGGUUAUGAACGACGUGGACUAAGUCUCAGCUGAAAUCUCGGGCAUUAUUCGUUUGAGAUACUGCAUGUGCCAAUUCUUCAAAUGGUCAUGGGGUGAAUGUGGUGUUCCAAGAAAGUCAGACUUAGUUGUUAGCUUAUUUCAAAAUGGGUUGAUUAAGUGUUAGUUAACAUAGUGGCAAUUACGAACACACACACAUUCGCAUACAUUGCAAACCAGAGCUCUCACACACAUAGCAUUCGAUUGUACUACACUUGAUCAACAUCCGAAGUUGUAAUUUUUAUUGUUCAAUAUAGUUGAUAGUGAUAGUUUUCACUAUCCGAGGUUUUUAUGUCGGCGAUCUACUAGUGAUCAAGGGCUUUUCCUCGUACAAA